UCCCUGUUAUCUCAAUAAACCAGUGACCAUCGCCGCUCAGUGCGCCACACACCAGGCCAUUGUUAGUUAGCAGAACAGGAAAGCGUUUCAACUUAUCUGAAUAAGACACUGCUCCGCGCAGGUCGAGGUAUCCGGGCCUCGGUAAAACUUAGUAUACCGCUGGAAGUCACGACUCUCUCGGUAAAUGCAUCCUCUCAGUACCAGAAAUGUAUAAAGAUGCUCAUUCGGUGCAAGGUAGUCAUCACUCAGGACCAUGCAAGAAACCUCUUCAGCUUCGCUCCUCACUAACGCUCAGAUCCAUGCCGAGGGUCAGAACGCAAGCUCCAACCCACAACAUGGCAUGCGCUUCUUUGACCUCACAGGUGUGGAGCAAGAAAAUAUACUUUUAACACCGUUCAACUACGGUUUUUUUGAUGGGAACGUUCUAUAAGCAAGCGGUCUAACCCAGACAGAAGGCUACAAGGAGAUGUGCAAUAAGGAAAAGUAUCCUAUU